CCCUUAGAUGUUCUGGGCCGCACGCGCGCUACACUGACGAAUGCAACGAGCUUAUAACCUUGGCCGAAAGGUCUGGGUAAUCUCCAAAUUUCGUCGUGAUGGGGAUAGAUUAUUGCAAUUAUUAAUCUUCAACGAGGAAUGCCUAGUAAGCGCAAGUCAUCAGCUUGCGUUGAUUACGUCCCUGCCCUUUGUACACACCGCCCGUCGCUCCUACCGAUUGAAUGGUCCGGUGAAGCGUUCGGACCGUGGCCUUUGGACGGUUCGCCGUCUGGUGGCUGCGGGAAGUUCGUUAAACCUUAUCAUUUAGAGGAAGGAGAAGUCGUAACA
rnacentral:rRNA from 1 species